AGGUCAGCGGCAUAUUUGCCCAGAGGUCAGCAGCACAUAUGCCCAAAGGUCAGAGGUCAGUGGCAUAUUUGCCCAAAGGUCAGAGGUCAGCAGCAUAUGUGCCCACAGGUAAGAGGUCAGCAGCACAUAUGCCCAGAGGUCAGCGGCAUAUUUGCCCAAAGGUCAGAGGUCAGCAGCAUUUGUGCCCAGAGGUCAGCGGCAUAUUUGCCCAAAGGUCAGAGGUCAGCAGCAUAUGUGCCCACAGGUAAGAGGUCAGCAGCACAUAUGCCCAGAGGUCAGCGGCAUAUUUGCCCAAAGGUCAGAGGUCAGCAGCAUUUGUGCCCAGAGGUCAGCAGCAUAUGUGCCCAGAGGUAAGCAGCAUAUGUUCCCAGAAGUCAGAGGUCAGCAGCAUUUGUGCCCACAGGUCAGAGGUCAGCAGCAUAUUAGCCCAGAGGUCAGAGGUCAGCAGCAUAUGUGCCCACAGGUCAGCAGCACAUAUGCCCACAGAUCAGAGGUCAGCAGCAUAUGUGCCCAGAGGUCAGCAGCAUAUGUGCCCACAGGUCAGCAGCACAUAUGCCCAAAGGUCAGAGGUCAGCGGCAUAUUUGCCCAAAGGUCAGAGGUCAGCAGCAUAUGUGCCCAGAGGUCAGAG